rnacentral:rRNA from 1 species
UACGUAGGGGGCAAGCGUUGUCCGGAGUUAUUGGGCGUAAAGCGCGCGCAGGCGGCCUCGCGCGCCCGACGUGAAAGCCCCCGGCUUAACCGGGGAGGGUCGUUGGGGACGGCGGGGCUUGAGGGCGGGAGAGGUCGGUGGAAUUCCCGGUGUAGCGGUGAAAUGCGCAGAUAUCAGGAGGAACACCGAUGGCGAAGGCAGCUCGCUGGGACGGUACUGACGCUGAGGCGCGAAAGCGUGGGGAGCAAACAGG